rnacentral:rRNA from 1 species
UACGGAGGAGGCGAGCGUUAUCCGGAAUUAUUGGGCGUAAAGCGUCCGCAGGUGGCACCUCAAGUCUGCUGUCAAAGACCGGGGCUUAACCCCAGAAAGGCAGUGGAAACUGAAGUGCUAGAGUGCAGUAGGGGUAGAGGGAAUUCCCGGUGUAGCGGUGAAAUGCGUAGAGAUCGGGAAGAACAUCGGUGGCGAAAGCGCUCUGCUGGACUGCAACUGACACUCAGGGACGAAAGCUAGGGGAGCGAAUGGG